GUGGGGAAUAUUGGACAAUGGGCGCAAGCCUGAUCCAGCCAUGCCGCGUGAGUGAUGAAGGCCCUAGGGUUGUAAAGCUCUUUCACCGGUGAAGAUAAUGACGGUAACCGGAGAAGAAGCCCCGGCUAACUUCGUGCCAGCAGCCGCGGUAAUACGAAGGGGGCUAGCGUUGUUCGGAAUUACUGGGCGUAAAGCGCACGUAGGCGGACAUUUAAGUCAGGGGUGAAAUCCCAGAGCUCAACUCUGGAACUGCCUUUGAUACUGGGUGUCUUGAGUAUGGAAGAGGUAAGUGGAAUUCCGAGUGUAGAGGUGAAAUUCGUAGAUAUUCGGAAGAACACCAGUGGCGAAGGCGACUCACUGGCCCGUUACUGACGCUGAGGCGCGAAAGCGUGGGGAGCAAACAGGAUUAGAUACCCCGUGUAGUCC
rnacentral:rRNA from 1 species